UGGCAAUCCGAUAUUUAGUUCAUGUCCCCCGAUAUAUCCCCGAUUUCCGCUAUCCAACAUGGAUUUCAGCCGUCUGGGAUGAACCCGACAUCCGACAUUUAUAACCUUGCCAACUAUGCAGGUCUAUCUGGAGGGUACGAGAUCAAAAUAUUGUCAAUGAAAAAUUACAUGGGACCCAUGAAGUAUGUAAUUCGCAGCUUUUUCGAACAUACAAAUUUUCACAUCUAAAUUGCUAUAAGACUAGCUAUCAGAUGUUUUUGUUAGGCCCACCUCAACCCGCACUAGAUCUCAGAAAACCAAGCUAUUUAAAACAUCACAUCAAAUUGCUUGAAGUUUGCUUCUUAUAAUCUGAGAUCAAACUGAAGCAGUUAGAUGAUGUUAAAUAUCUAGAAAGAAGUUUGAACCUUCUGAUGCAGCGGCAUGUUUUACCUGUUAUUGGAGACUGUUCACUUUUUCAGGAAGCCUAUUUGAUUUUAAUGUCCAGUGAUUAUGUUUCCAUCUUCCUAGAUAAUAUUGCUCACUGACAUUUAUAACUGAAGAGCCAAAAUUGUUUAUUUUCAAACCUUUCCUUUAGAACUGUUUUUUUUCCCUGGAUAAAGUAUCUUAUGGCUUAUAAUAAUCUAUCUAAAAACUGACUUUACCUCUUCCAUACCAAUAUCUUUAUGACAUUAAUUUUUUUAUAACAUAAUAAUGCAGUGGAACGAUUGUUGUUGCUUAUUUGAUGAAGCAGCAUAGGAUGAGCCGGUCUCAAGCUCUGGAACUUGUGAGGAGUAAACGACCACAAGUUCAACCAAAUUUGGGUUUUGUGCUUCAACUGAUAAACUUCGAGAAAUCUCUUGGAGUGCUUCAAGACAACUCCGGCUAAAGGACUGCAAGCUUAAUAUGCACAAAUAAUGCUCCGUAAAUAUUUCCAAGAACUCUCCUUCCCUUUGGCAAAUAAGUUUUGAGUAAGCUUCCAAUAAGGAACUCUCAGAAAUCAAAGCAACUGCUCAACUGUAAAAACAUAGCUGAUGGAGGGUAAUGCGAGCAAACUCGAUUGUAGAAACAUGCUGAUUUGGUUGUAGAAACAUGAUUGAACGCAAAAUGUAGGGUUUUUUUUCUUAUUCCUUCUUUGUCCAUUAUAUUUGUGUAAUAGAAAAUUUUCUCAACAACAUGCUGUAUUGUUGGCUCUUUGGUUUUUCUUUAGUUUUCAUUGGGGGCAGAGACGCUGCCAUGAAGUAAUAUUAUAAAUCAAGGAGACAUUCUUUGGUAAUAAUUUUCAACAGAGGUCCAGACUAGGUCUCACUUCAGUUCCAGCAAGCUGAGGUGGUAAAGAGGGGGCAUGAAGAACAAAUCUCGACGGAAAUUCAUUUGUUUUUCAAUAUUGCGAUUCUGUGAAAACUUAUUUUGACGUGAUAAUGUAAAACUUGUAUAUUUUCCGCAGACUUGAGUGCAUUCGGAUGUGUUAAAUAACCACCGAAGGAAUUUCAUGAACAGCUGAAUCUGUUACUUCAA